GUGGUGCUUUUCAAGUGUUAUUGGUUUGAUCCCAUACAAGGAGUCAGAGUUGAUGCAAGAUAUGAUAUCAUUGAGGUUAAUCACAAGUCGAAAUUGAAUGCAUAUUAUAUCCUGCUGAGGUUUACGAUGAUGAAUCAACAGAGACGCGAUCAAACGAUGACAAUUAUUAUCAAGAUGAAGAAGCAAGAAUAUCAUAUAUUCCUCCUCAUUUGAAUAACAAUGUUGAUGAAGUCCUAAUCUUUUCAGAUCAUG
rnacentral:lncRNA from 1 species